rnacentral:lncRNA from 1 species
GAAAAGUACGCAUGUUUGAUGUACUAUAAGCACCCGUUUGGUUCGGAAACAAGGGUGGAAUAAUUUCUUAACCCCGAAGUUAUUCCCAAACGCUUAAUUUUGAGGUGGGGUUAGCUAACCACACCCCACUACUUCAACUAAACAAAACACUAUUUUAUUUACUAUCCUUCUUAUCCCAUCUACUCUAAUCAAAUAUUAUUUUAUUUAUAUCUGGACUAAACCCUAUUCUCAACCAAACAUAAAAUUACUCUAACCCCACCUUAACCCUGAACUUAACUCUAUUCCUGAAAUAACAAAUUUUUACUUAACCCCGAAUCAAACAGUGGCUAAGAAUAUAUCAUAUUCUUUUUUUAUGAUAUUGUAUUUUUAUACUAUUUAAGAUAUAUAAAAAUAUUAUUGAUGAAUCAACUUUACAUAUGGAUGAAUAAUUACAUUUUAUCUUAAAAAAAUAUAAAGCUGACUAAUUAGCAAAAUUGUGAAGUAUAUCCUAUGUUGCAUGUUAGCACUUACAAUAGACAAUUCUCAUUUUGCCUGGGAAUGAGAUCUCGCUCCCAUCGUUUAGGAUUUAAUUGAGAAAUGCGAUUACUGCAACUUGUUGGCUUAAAUGGGUCAGUAUCUUGUCCUGUGGCGGAAAGUCAUAUUGGGUCGAGUCAUAUUCAAAAUGGCGUGAGGUUGAGGUGGGCCAAGUCAUCUUCGAAGUGGUACAAGAUUGGUUGGGUCGAGCCACAAUCGAAAUCCGUGGGCGUUGUGUCUGUAUGCUUUAAGUGAAUUGGUUAUAUAUUUCUAACAAGGGGCAAUUGCUUAUAUAUUUCUGAAAAGUUUCCGAUUUUCCGAUUUAUCCCUCUUAGAAGGCUAAUAUUGAAAAUACCCUUUCUACGUUUCAACCUAUUUCUAAUAUACCCCUAGAGUUAAAAUCUGUUAAUUAACUCUGUUAUCUCUGUAAAAUUACUAUUUUGCCCUUUCAGAUAUACCCUUCUACCAUCACUGACUUUCUUAUUUGCCCUUAAAGUCAGGGAUACAAAAAGUAAUUUGAUCUUUGGUCUUUUCCAAUAUACCCCUCUACCGUCACCAACAUUUCGCCCUUAAGUUAAGAAAAAAAUUGAUAUUUUAAUUUUUUUAACUGUGGUAGAUAUUUAACUCACGUUUAACUCAAGUUAACUUAACAUGAGAUAACUGCAGGGGUAUUUUGCAAAAACGGUAGAACAUAUGAGGGUAUUUUAUAAAGAAAAAAAAAAAAGUAGAGAUAAAUCGAAUAUUUUUAAACGUAUGAGGAAUAUAUAGACAAUUAUCUCUUCUGACAACUCGAGCUUUUGGAUUAAUAAUUACCGCCAAUGAUCCGACAACUAAAUGAUGAAUGUCUAAAUACU